rnacentral:rRNA from 1 species
GACGAACGCUGGCGGCGUGCUUAACACAUGCAAGUCGAACGGAAAGGCCCUGCUUUUGUGGGGUGCUCGAGUGGCGAACGGGUGAGUAACACGUGAGUAACCUGCCCUUGACUUUGGGAUAACGUCAGGAAACUGGGGCUAAUACCGGAUAGGAGCUCCUGCUGCAUGGUGGGGGUUGGAAAGUUUCGGCGGUUGGGGAUGGACUCGCGGCUUAUCAGCCUGUUGGUGGGGUAGUGGCUUUCCAAGGCUUUGACGGGUAGCCGGCCUGAGAGGGUGACCGGCCACAUUGGGACUGAGAUACGGCCCAGACUCCUACGGGAGGCAGCAGUGGGGAAUAUUGCACAAUGGGCGGAAGCCUGAUGCAGCAACGCCGCGUGCGGGAUGUCGGCCUUCGGGUUGAAAACCGAUUUCGCCUGUGACGAAGCGUGAGUGACGGUAAUGGGUAAAGAAGCACCGGCUAACUACGU